rnacentral:ncRNA from 1 species
ACAGUACGGCGAAGCUACCAUCUGCUGGAUACGGCUGACGCUCUAAGCCGGAAUCCAUGCUGGAUAAGCAGUGUUGUACACCGUGCUCAAUGCUACAAGAAAAAGGCUAGGUCAGGCUUCGGCCUGACCAAAAUUCAAGCUGCUAUACCUCUGGCUGCAUUGACUUGUGGUCAGAGUGUAUGGUGAUCAUAGCAAUUGCAAGUAUUGGGCUCGAUAAAUCCUUUGAAGACGACUUAAUUGCAUCCGGGUAUUGUAAGUGUUGAGAGUAGGCUUAGUCUUACGAUCCACUGAGAUUCAUCCCGUGUUGCGCCGAUUUGU